GUUCGGGUGGAUCCUUCACUGCUGCAAAGAGACACAACAAAUCUGUUUGUUAAUGUAAAGAAAAAGGUUUAUUAAUCUGAAUAAAGCUGCUGAAUUAAACGUGUUAGUAAGUUUAACUUAAUGAACCUACCAGUGACAUUGAGGUGACAUUCCUUAAAGUUCUUCCCAUAACUUGUGUCCACUUGACACCAGUACAGCCCCGAGUCAUUAGUCUGGAGUCUGGAGAUGUGAAGUGUGAGUCGUCCUUCUCUGAGGACGUCUUUGUCCCACUGGACUCGUCCUGCAAAGCGUUCAUCCCGAAUCUCUGGGAUCUCGACACCUUCAUGUAGCUCAAACAGGGUAAAGGGUCUAUCAUCAGCUAACAUCUCACAGGAGACAUAAAGGGCGUUGAGGGAGGGGUCCGUGCUGGUGGGGAACAUCCAUUCCAGUGAGAUGUUGUGGUUCUCCUCUGCAUGAUACCAGCUCUGUGUC
ensembl:lncRNA